AAAGCAGGAGAAAACAAAACUAAGAAAAUAACAUGUUUUUGCUGUGGAACAUUAGGACACAAAGCAAAUGUAUGUGAUUUUAGAAAAGGAAAAACCAAAAGAAAAAUUAAAAGGGUUUGGGUUCCAAAAGGAACCAACAUUACUAACCAUGAAGGACCCAAGAAAACUUGGGUACCUAAAACUGUAUGAUUUGCUUGUGUAG
rnacentral:lncRNA from 1 species